CUUGAAAUGUUCCAUCGUCAUCAGCUGGAAUCAUGCCUUCCUCUUCUUCUUCACCAAAAUAAGAAGCUCGAUGGCCAUUGGCGUAACCUACAACAUCCUGCCCACCACCUGGUGAUCUUUGCCAGUCCUGUGGAGUAUCAUCAUAUGGUGCCCUGAGCUUAUCCUUCCCGCCACCAUCACCAUCAGAAGCCUUCAACUUUUCCUUCCCUACACCAGCAGCACCAGGUGGGGACUGUGAUCUCUCUGGGGAAGAACCACGUGCAUUCACAGAAUUUGUGAAACCCCUUGUACCAUCUUUGUUGUAAGGUGAAACACGCUGCCGCUGUGGUGGUGGUGAUGACUGAGGCUUCUGCUCCAUGGCUGAUUUAUGGAAACUGCGCAUGGGAGAGCGUUCCCGAACAUUGUCAUUGUUGUAAGGUGAAACAUAUCGACCAUGCGGUGAACGAGCCUGCUCCAUGGCUGAUUUAUGAAAACUGUGCACUGGGGACCGUUCACGUACAGGUGGAGCCUUGUUGUAUCUUUCAAGGCUACGACUCCGGCUGCGAGACUUGCUUCGACUGCGGCUCCUGCUCCGGGCAUCACCA
rnacentral:lncRNA from 1 species